UUUUUUUUUUUUUCUAAUAGCACAAAAGGACUUAUUUUCAUUACACUUGUUUCUCUAUAUUAUAUUUUUUAUUUUUUUACAUAAAAAAGUUUUCCAAAAUUUGAAGUAAAACGGGGUGCAGUAAUAGCAAAGCUAGGGUUAAAAAAUUGGGGUCUGUGUAACGAAUCUGCGGCAGAUUUCACGAAAAAAGAUGGAGAUGUGGCGCGCAAUUCCUAAGCGGGAGAAGCAAGAAUACCCAGAGGGAUUUGCAAUUCCUAAGCAUGAGAAGCAAGAAUACCCGGAGGGAUUUGCAAUUCCUAAGCCUGAGGGAUUUGCAAUUCCUAAGCAUGAGAAGCAAGAAUACCGGGAGGCAAGAGAUAGAGUCCGAGAGAAGCAAGAGAGACUCCGAGAGAGGGAAGAAAGACUCCCGAGUGAGGCGAGAAGGUCUCCAUAGGAGAGUCGAGCGAGUGAAAGAAGCUGGCAAGAUAGCAAGGGCGAGUAUAAAGAAGCUGCUCUUAGAGAGGAGAUAUUCAGUCUUUUUGACUCAACGGCCUCAGAUGCUAAUGAGAGAGCCAGGAGGAUUGGAAUUAAGAAUGAUGGUGAGGUUGGUUAAUUGGGUCAUUCAUUCCCCUUGCAAAAGAUGUUUCUUUCACUAUUAAUUAUAUGACUCUUUUAUCUCUUUUAGUGGAGUGUGUUGUAUUUUAGGUAAACUAUACAAUUUUUGUAAAAUGUCCUGAAAUAUUUUAAAAGCAAGUAAAAUGCUCCUGCCACAAAAUGAUUAUCUUUAUAAAGAUUAUAAAAUUUAUGAAUAUGAAAUACUAAUAAUGUCCUCUUAUUUUUAUUUUACUUUAUUUUUAAAGUCAGUAAGGCUGCCAUCGCCCACCGUGAACAGAGCUCCAGAUGGUUACAUCGACCUGAAAGGCGUUUCUCUCUCUUGGACCCUCCCAUCAUCAUCCAUAACUCUCACACCAAUCACCUCUCUGGCGGAUUCUACAAAACUCUCUCUUUCUCUCUCUCAAGACUCUCUAUUUUUUUUGUCUGAAGCUCAAACACUCACGCGCACACCCAGAAAUUCCACAAACAGAAGCACUUGCCCCUCUCUCUCUAAAAUCUGAGCCAUGGCGAUGUCUCUUGCAACGACAACUUCGGCCUCAGCUGCUUCGGUUGCCAGAACUGCCCCCAAUUCAAGCUCUUAUUUACCUAUUCUGUCUCAUUCUCACUCUAGCGUCUCAUUUCGUCUCUCUCCCAAACCCAAGCUCCAAAUCUUCAUCAAGGUAUGUAUGCAUGUACGCGCAAUUGCAAUCUCUAUCUAAAAAUUCACUUUUCUCUUUCUGUAAAUUCAUUGUAUUUCUUUGAAUUUUGUUUGAAAUUCCUUGUAUUUAUGAGAUCAAUCUCUGUUGCUCUCUCUGUUUUUGUGUGUAUAUAUAUAUAUAUAUAUAUAUAUGUAUAUCGAUUUGUAAUGCAAGAUGGGUUUUUUUUCUCUC